AUGGAUUUCCAGGUCGUCAAGGUUAUCCUGGGCCCCCGGGGUCAAAGGGCGACGCUGGCAACCCGGGCCAACCAAGCUAUGGCAUUGAAGGAGUCCAAGGACCUCCUGGCUUCCCUGGACCUGCUGGACCCGCUGGUCCUCCAGGACCUCGAGCCCAGAGUGAAUUCCAGGGUGUGUCUUACCCUGGACCUGAUGGUCUUCCCGGAUCCAGAGGAUUGCCCGGUGACAGAGGAUACAAAGGCUUCAGAGGUACACAGGAACACCAAUAGCGAACCAAUUAGCUCUCUGAGAACACCUGUGUGCCGUGUUCCUCUUGAACUAACCUUUCUGCCCUUCAUGUCUGUUUUCUCUAACGUCCUUCCCCCUCCAGGUGACCCUGGGGACUGUAACUGCCUAGGAGGGGAGUUCAAGGGGCAACCUGGUUUACCAGGACCCGCUGGACCUGUUGGGAGGGAUGGUUUCAAUGGACCAAAGGGAGGUGCUGGUGACCGCGGCACACCCGGGUUUAAUGGCAUUCCAGGACCUACUGGUUUACCUGGAGUAGCAGGAGUCUUUGGUCGUAAAGGGCAGAAGGGAGAACCUUAUUACCCACCUUUAGCGGCGAAAGGAGAGCGUGGAGCACCUGGACUGAUGGGACCUACUGGCGAAACUGGAAAACCUGGCAGAGAUGGGUUUCCAGGCUCCCCUGGAGCCCCUGGACUCCCAGUGAGUCCCAGUAUUACUGUAAUAUUAUUAGAAGCAAGGGUUUGA
rnacentral:lncRNA from 1 species